rnacentral:rRNA from 1 species
UACGAAGGGGGCUAGCGUUGCUCGGAAUCACUGGGCGUAAAGCGCACGUAGGCGGUCUUUUAAGUCGGGGGUGAAAUCCUGGAGCUCAACUCCAGAACUGCCUUCGAUACUGGAAGACUCGAGUCCGGGAGAGGUGAGUGGAACUGCGGGUGUAGAGGUGAAAUUCGUAGAUAUUCGCAAGAACACCAGUGGCGAAGGCGGCUCACUGGCCCGGUACUGACGCUGAGGUGCGAAAGCGUGGGGAGCAAACAGG